rnacentral:lncRNA from 1 species
CUUUUCUAACUUCGGUAAGGUGAAUCUUGGUGCUAUAAACAUAGCUCCGUGUACCUUGCUGUAGCAUGCUGACUUCAGUUCUUUUGGAUAAAUACCAAGGAAUGGGAUAGCUGUGUCAUGUGGCAUUUCUGUUACCUUUCACCCCAUCAUCCCCCCUCAAGCAAGCCCUGUAAUUCUUCUGAAAGCUACAGAUUCAGCAGGUGAAUUAACAAGCACAUGUGUUAACUAGUUUUUACUCUAUAUUCUACAUGAAGGAAAGCUUAUUCCACAUACUGGAGUGUAUUUUUGAACUUGCUUCUUUACCAACAUAUCUAGGCGAACUUUCCAGAACAACACUAAAUUGUUUCCCUAGAAGAUUUUAGUACUAUAUAGAUGAGAAUUUUGAGGCUCAAUAAAGGCAAAGAAAUGUGUUCUGAGAUCAUCCAACCAGGAAGUACCAGGAGCUGGAACAAGGCUCUUCAGAGCUUCCCUUGUCACCAGCUGCCACCCAGCAUUGAAAGGUAAAGUUUCUGUGGACAAUUGAUUUUGGUCUUGCUCUUGACUGUCCCCUCUCCCCUCACCAGCCUCUCCCCGUCACCUGCAUCCAGGCCACACAUGCAGACAGCCAGCAGCACCCAGACCACCAGGUGCCUCAUCGCCUCUGAUAGCCCUCAGAGGACAUGCACCUGGGCGAGCCUCACCUCCGAGUUUAUACUCUGCCUUUCUGCUCCUCCUCCUCUGGUCACUCUCACCCCUACCCUGCCACAUUUUCUUCCUUGUCCUGAAUCUCAGGGUGCUUAAAAAUCAGGAACCACUCACGUUAGGCUAUUCUACAGCUGCAUCCUGAAAGCUGAUCCCUGGAUCAGCACUGUCACCCUGGGUGGGGAGGGAUGUUAACAAUUCAGAGCCUCAGCCCCUCCUUGCACCUGCUGAACCUGGCGGAGCAGCCUGGGUUCAGCAAGCCCUCCAGGGGUCUGCUGUUGGCUUAAGUUGGAAACCACUGUUUUAGAGGGUGCUACUACGUCCACAUUCCUUCCUUUCAUAUUCUCCCUUGAUGAUUCCUACUUUUAAAAAAUGAUAGCCUACACCUGUAAUCCCAGCAGCUCAGGAGGCUGAGGCAGGAGGAUCAGGAGUUCAAAGCCAGCCUCAG